GACGAACGCUGGCGGCGUGCUUUACACAUGCAAGUCGAACGGUGAAGGUGGCGCUUGCGCCGCCGGAUCAGUGGCGCACGGGUGAGUAACACGUGGGCAACCUGCCCCUAACUUUGGGAUAACUACUCGAUAGAGUAGCUAAUACCGGAUAUGAAGUCUGUAGGCAGCUACGGAUCUGGCAAGGUUGUCGGUUAGGGAUGGGCCCGCGGCCUACCAGCUUGUUGGUGAGGUAGUGGCGCACCACGGCGACGACGGGUAGCCGGCCUGAGAGGGCGACCGGCCACACUGGGACUGAGACACGGCCCAGACUCCUACGGGAGGCAGCAGUGGGGAAUAUUGCGCAAUGGGCGAAAGCCUGACGCAGCAACGCCGCGUGCGGGAUGAAGGCCUUCGGGUUGUAAACCGCUUUCAGCAGGGAAGAAGCGAAAGUGACGGUACCUGCAGAAGAAGCACCGGCUAACUACGUGCCAGCAGCCGCCGUAA
rnacentral:rRNA from 1 species